UACGUAGGUGGCUAGCGUUGUCCGGAUUUACUGGGCGUAAAGAGCGCGCAGGCGGUCGUUCAAGUCGGGUGUGAAAGCCCCCGGCUCAACUGGGGAGGGUCACUCGAUACUGGUCGACUUGAAGGCGGGAGAGGGAAGCGGAAUUCCCGGUGUAGUGGUGAAAUGCGUAGAUAUCGGGAGGAACACCAGUGGCGAAGGCGGCUUUCUGGCCUGUUCUUGACGCUGAGGCGCGAAAGCUAGGGGAGCGAACGGG
rnacentral:rRNA from 1 species